CGCUUGUUAGGACAGCCCAGGAACAUGCUUCCAGUUACACAAGUUAUUGUGUAUAGUCUUGGGUUUGUUUAAGUUUUUCUUUUUUUUUUCCAGCAGAAAUGAAGGAAGAAGCAAACAGAAUGGAAAACCAGAAAGGGAGAGGGAGCCUCUGUCAACAGUUGGCUACAGCUGAAUUUUGCAUAAGGUUGCCAAAAUGACUUCUGCUGUUGCUUGUUAUUUGAGAUGGAUCUCACUUUGUAGCCAGGCUGGUCUGGAACUCACAGCAAAACUUUGCCUCAGCAUCUCAAGUGCUGGCACUAUGAGACAGGGUCUAGCUGCAUAGCCCUGGCUGGCCUAGAACUCACUACAAAAUCUGGUUAGCCUCAUACUCACAGAGAUCCACCUGGAUCUGCCUCAUAAGUGCUGGGAUUAGAGGCGUGCACCACCAAGCCCUAUUUCUAAAAGCACAAAGGUGCCAUGCCACAAACUUAGCAAAGCAGAACUGGGACCGUGAGCACAGGGACAUGGUAAACAUCUCUUCAGGAAAGCUGGGGCCAAGGACUUACUGGACACACCAGACUGACGACGCGAUGCAAACUCUCGUCUGGACUCCACAAAGAGGAGGACAGCUAAGAGAUGGCAGAUGGUGACAGCCCCGCCAGCCUGUAAUCUCACCACUCAGCAUGGAGAAACUGAAAGAGAACUCCCAACUGUCCCAGGGCUCAGCACUGCCCAGCCCCCACUGCUGAUGGAGCCUACUUGAAAUGCUUCUGUUUAUUCUCCCAGUCAUCUUUCUGGACCUGGUCUUGCACCUUGCUUUUGUAGCUUGACUUGACCCCAAGACUCAGUUCAAACCUGUGACCCUGGGAGUUGUGUUUGUAGUCGUGUUUCUAGCCAACUUCCAACAGAGUUCAUGGUCUGACUCUGCCUCCUGCCGAGAUCGUCACAUCCCUAGCUUCCUGCUGCUGUUUCUCAAGAAGACUCCUUGAAGCCUGCUGCAGCAUCUUUAACCCCUUGUGUCUAUUCUCUACAAUAAUAGAUACUAAUGAUUUGUGUGAAGAGUACUGUGUGACCCCAGAGUAAUAAAGAUUGGAAUUAAAAAACUGGUGUGUCAACAGCCAGCUAUCAA